GAGGCUAAAGAUCAGGUAAAGGAAAAGCAAACUUCCGAGAAUGUUCUCGGUGCAUAAGACUACAUCGCAGCAACACACUGUCAAUGAGAGUGAAGGAGAAAGUGAUUAUAAGAUUAUAGGACUAACUAACUUCUCUGGCGACAGGAGGAGCUCGUCGACACCACUUUGUUGACGGCAUCACGGGACUUCUUAAGUAGUAGAAAGACCUCAUUUUGAACCACUAUGAAGGCAGCAUUGAUCUUGAUGAACAAGUUGUUGUAUACAUCACUGAGAAAGUCUCUACUUGACUAACAACGAUGUCAUGUGCCACGCCAUCAUGAAAGAAGAAUGGUGGCC
rnacentral:lncRNA from 1 species